rnacentral:rRNA from 1 species
AACGUAGGAGACAAACGUUAUCCGGAGUUACUGGGCGUAAAGCGCACGUAGGCGGCUUUUUAAGUCAGGGGUGAAAUCCUGGAGCUCAACUCCAGAACUGCCUUUGAUACUGAAGAUCUUGAGUUCGGGAGAGGUGAGUGGAACUGCGAGUGUAGAGGUGAAAUUCGUAGAUAUUGGGAGGAACACCAGUGGCGAAGGCGGCUCACUGGACCGGAACUGACGCUGAGGCGCGAAAGCGUGGGGAGCAAACGGG